rnacentral:lncRNA from 1 species
GGGAAGAGAAGUUUUCAAACCCGACCCGAAAACCGGACCUGGAACCGGCGAACGUGACCUGGCCAUAUCUCCCAUUUCCGGCCACCUUUUCGGCCGAGCUUGGUACCAAUCUGAAGCUUAUAAGCCUGCCGUCGUUUCCCUACCAUCAUCUCCGCCGCAAAGCAACCGGAACGCCGGAGAUCGAAGCUUGGAAACCCGCGACUGUUUCGCUUUGUUCCGCCGGGAUUUUCUCCGAUUUUGGGUGACACCACCGGUUGGCUUUUGUUCCCCACGACUCCAUCUUCCAUUUCCGACCAUCCACUGCCGCCGGGGACAUCGUUUUACCUUUGAUCGGCCGUUGAAAAACUUACGGCUUUGGGAGCUCGAUCCGGAGCCAUCAUCGCGCGUGGAAGGUCACCACCGCCACCGUUGGAAUCAGUGUGGCCAGAACUUUCAGACUUGAGCUUCCCGUCCAGCGUUGACCAAUUCCGGUUACCGUUGACCGGCGAGGGCAUUUCGGUAAUUUCACACUAUGAGGGCAAUUUUGUAAUUUCUGAGCCUGUGGAUAUUUUAGUAAUUCCUAAAAGUGAGGAUUGAGUGUAAUUACGAUUUCGAGGGUAAUUCGGAGAUUUCCGAUUUUGAAGUAUUUUAAUGAUUUACGGACUCGAGGGUAUUUUAGUAAUUUUAUCGACACAGGAGUUGUAAAUUAUAGAUAGAUGUUCGUUUCGAGUUUAUUAUAUAAAUUUAGUCCUAAUUCUAAUUUACGAAAAAUAAUUAUGUCGUUUCCUUGAUUUAGGAGGAUCCGCGAGCGAGAACCAGUCCGCGGACGUGGACGAUAACCGAGUGUGAACACCAUCAUGUGAGUGGAAUAUACAAAACAUAUUUUCAUAGUUAAUUAUGUUAGUAAAGCAUGUUUGCGAAAUAAAUAUUUUAAAUGUUCUGAUUUAAUGAUUUCCUCGAAAUGAAUUUUAUUUACGCAUUGGUAUUUUAUUAAAAUAUUUGGUUAAUGAUUUUGUGUAUCGACUUUGAAUAAAGCAUGAUAGUAUUUUAAAGAUAAGAAAAGUGAAUUCAAAUGUGGUAUGAUUUAAAAUAUGGUUAAAAGGUAUGUGAAUAUGAGUAUAAUGAUGGUUUUUUAAAUCAUUAGACAGUACCCUUUCCCUCCAGAUACAGUGAUACAGAUGAUAUGAGAUGAGAGGCCUUUGGGGCCCGUCUGAACACACAUAGAGGCUUUGGGACGUGUGCUUGGGCGCUUUUGUCCUUUGGGGACUAGAUUAUGUAUGCACAGAUAUGAUGAGAUAUGAGAUGAUAUUUUCCUGUCUAGCCGUGUAGCUCCGGGGCGUGACGGUACCCAGAUAGUACGUCAUUGCAUGUCCAUUGAGGUCUGGAUAUGACGAGAUUAUUUCCCUGGGUACUUGUUUGGUGAUGACUUUUAGAUUUGUGUAUCCUAUAUGAUAUUGUGAUAUGAUUUCCAUUGUUAGUAAUCUAAUUUAAAUGUUAAAUGAUUUAUUACU